rnacentral:tRNA from 1 species
UCCGGCGUAGGGUAAUUGGCAGCCCCCGGCACUUUGGAUGCCGUAUGUCCUGGUUCGAGUCCAGGCGCCGGAAC